AGUGAACGCUGGCGGUAGGCCUAACACAUGCAAGUCGAACGGCAGCACAGGAGAGCUUGUUCUCUGGGUGGCGAGUGGCGGACGGGUGAGGAAUACAUCGGAAUCUACUCUGUCGUGGGGGAUAACAUAGGGAAACUUACGCUAAUACCGCAUACGACCUACGGGUGAAAGCAGGGGACCUUCGGGCCUUGCGCGAUUGAAUGAGCCGAUGUCGGAUUAGCUAGUUGGCGGGGUAGAGGCCCACCAAGGCGACGAUCCGUAGCUGGUCUGAGAGGAUGAUCAGCCACACUGGAACUGAGACACGGUCCAGACUCCUACGGGAGGCAGCAGUGGGGAAUAUUGGACAAUGGGCGCAAGCCUGAUCCAGCCAUACCGCGUGGGUGAAGAAGGCCUUCGGGUUGUAAAGCCCUUUUGUUGGGAAAGAAAUCCAGCUGGCUAAUACCCGGUUGGGAUGACGGUACCCAAAGAAUAAGCACCGGCUAACUUCGUGCCAGCCGCCGCGGUAA
rnacentral:rRNA from 1 species